GUUGUAUAGUCAAGUAAUUAAGUGCAUGUGGUGGAUGCCUUGGCAGUCAGAGGCGAUGAAAGACGUGAUAGCCUGCGAAAAGCUCCGGGGAGGCGGCAAAUAUCCUUUGAUCCGGAGAUGUCUGAAUGGGGGAACCCACCUACUUUAAGGUAGGUAUUGCAACAUGAAUACAUAGUGUUGCAAGGCGAACGAGGGGAAGUGAAACAUCUCAGUACCCUUAGGAAAAGAAAUCAAUUGAGAUUCCCUCAGUAGCGGCGAGCGAACGGGGAUCAGCCCAUUAAGUUAUGUGUGUUUUAGUGGAACGCUCUGGGAAGUGCGAACGUAGAGGGUGAUAUUCCCGUACACGAAAGGGCACACAUAAUGAUGACGAGUAGGGCGAGGCACGUGAAACCUUGUCUGAAUAUGGGGGGACCAUCCUCCAAGGCUAAAUACUCCUGACUGACCGAUAGUGAACCAGUACCGUGAGGGAAAGGCGAAAAGAACCCCUGUGAGGGGAGUGAAAUAGAUCCUGAAACCGCAUGCAUACAAGCAGUGGGAGCACCUUCGUGGUGUGACUGCGUACCUUUUGUAUAAUGGGUCAGCGACUUAUAUUCAGUAGCGAGGUUAACCGUAUAGGGGAGCCGUAGAGAAAUCGAGUCUUAAUAGGGCGUUUAGUUGCUGGGUAUAGACCCGAAACCAGGCGAUCUAUCCAUGAGCAGGUUGAAGGUUGGGUAACACUAACUGGAGGACCGAACCCACUGUCGUUGAAAAGCCAGGGGAUGACUUGUGGAUAGGGGUGAAAGGCUAAUCAAGCCUGGUGAUAGCUGGUUCUCCCCGAAAGCUAUUUAGGUAGCGCCUCGGACGAAUACCAUAGGGGGUAGAGCACUGUUUCGGCUAGGGGGUCAUCCCGACUUACCAAACCGAUGCAAACUCCGAAUACCUAUGAGUACUAUCCGGGAGACAGACUGCGGGUGCUAACGUCCGUAGUCAAGAGGAAAACAAUCCAGACCGCCAGCUAAGGCCCCAAAAUCAUAGUUAAGUGGGAAACGAUGUGGGAAGGCAUAGACAGCUAGGAGGUUGGCUUAGAAGCAGCCACCCUUUAAAGAAAGCGUAAUAGCUCACUAGUCGAGUCGGCCUGCGCGGAAGAUGUAACGGGGCUAAAACUAUGUGCCGAAGCUGCGGAUGUAUACUUUGUAUACGUGGUAGGGGAGCGUUCUGUAAGCCGAUGAAGGUGUGUUGAGAAGCAUGCUGGAGGUAUCAGAAGUGCGAAUGCUGACGUGAGUAACGACAAAACGGGUGAAAAACCCGUUCGCCGAAAGACCAAGGGUUCCAGUCCAACGUUAAUCGGGGCUGGGUGAGUCGACCCCUAAGGCGAGGCCGAAAGGCGUAGUCGAUGGGAAAAUGGUUAAUAUUCCAUUACUUCUGUGUAAUGCGAUGAGAGGACGGAGAAGGCUAAAUCAGCCUGGCGUUGGUUGUCCAGGUGAAAGGAUGUAGGCAUGUAUCUUAGGCAAAUCCGGGGUACUCUAUGCUGAGAUCUGAUAGCAAGCUGUACUUGUACAGCGAAGUGGUUGAUGCCAUGCUUCCAGGAAAAGUCUCUAAGCUUCAGUUACACAGGAAUCGUACCCGAAACCGACACAGGUGGUCAGGUCGAGUAGACCAAGGCGCUUGAGAGAACUCUGCUGAAGGAACUAGGCAAAAUGGUACCGUAACUUCGGGAGAAGGUACGCUGUUGUUGGUGAUGGAACUCGCUUCCUGAGCUGACGACAGCCGCAGAAACCAGGCCGCUGCAACUGUUUAUUAAAAACAUAGCACUCUGCAAACACGAAAGUGGACGUAUAGGGUGUGAUGCCUGCCCGGUGCUGGAAGGUUAAUUGAUGGGGUUAGCGUAAGCGAAGCUCUUGAUCGAAGCCCCAG
rnacentral:rRNA from 1 species